rnacentral:tRNA from 1 species
UGUUCGGUGGGCUAGUUGGUUAAAGCGCCGGACUAGCGACUUGGAGUCGUGGGUACGAAUUCCACCAAAACAA